ACUCUACCCGUACCGCAAACCGACACAGGUAGUCGAGGCGAGUAGCCUCAGGUGAUCGAGAGAACUCUCGUUAAGGAACUCGGCAAAAUGACCCCGUAACUUCGGGAGAAGGGGUGCUGACUUAGGUCAGCCGCAGUGAAUAGGCCCAAGCAACUGUUUAUCAAAAACACAGCUCUCUGCUAAAUCGUAAGAUGAUGUAUAGGGGGUGACGCCUGCCCGGUGCUGGUAGGGUAAGAGGCGGGAUUAGCGCAAGCGAAGAUCUGAAUCGUAUCCCCAGUAAACGGCGGCCGAAACUAUAAAGGUACUAAGGAAGCGGAAUUCCUUGACGGGUAAGUUCCGACCCGCACGAAAGGCGUAAUGAUUUGGGCUCUGUCUCAACGAGAGACUCGGUGAAAUUUUAGUACCUGUGAAGAUGCAGUUUACCCGCGACAGGAUGGAAAGACCCCAUGGAGCGUUACUGCAGUUUGAUAUUGAGUAUCUGUACCACAUGCACAGGAUAGGUAGGAGCCAUUGACUUCGGGACGCCAGUUUCGAAUGAGGCGUUUUUGGGAUACUCCCCUUGGUUGAUUGCUUCUCUAACCCAGAUAGGUUAUCCAUAUCGAAGACAGUUUCUGACUGCCAGUUAGUCUGGUGCCGUCGCCGCCUAAAGAGUAACGGAAGCGACCAAUGGUUCCCUCAGAUUGGUUGGAAAUCAAUCGCAGAGUGUAAAGGUAUAAGGGAGCUUGACUGCGAGAGCUAYAACUCGAGCAGGGACGAAAGUCGGGCUUAGUGAUCCGGUGGUACCGAAUGGAAGGGCCAUCGCUCAACGGAUAAAAGCUACCCUGGGGAUAACAGGCUUAUCUCCCCCAAGAGUUCACAUCGACGGGGAGGUUUGGCACCUCGAUGUCGGCUCGUCGCRUCCUGGGGCUGUAGUCGGUCCCAAGGGUUGGGCUGUUCGCCCAUUAAAGCGGCACGCGAGCUGGGUUCAGAACGGCGUGAGACAGUUCGGUCCCUAUCCGUCGCGGGCGUAGGAAAUUUGAGAGGA
rnacentral:rRNA from 1 species